ACAAGGAUUCCCCUAGUAACUGCGAGUGAAGCGGGAAAAGCUCAAAUUUAAAAUCUGGUGGUCUUUGGCCAUCCGAGUUGUAAUUUAGAGAAGCGUCUUCCGCGCUGGACCGUGCACAAGUCUCCUGGAAUGGAGCGUCAUAGAGGGUGAGAAUCCCGUCUUUGGCAUGGAUCCCAGGGCUUCUGUGAUGCGCUCUCGACGAGUCGAGUUGUUUGGGAAUGCAGCUCAAAAUGGGUGGUGAACUCCAUCUAAAGCUAAAUAUUGGCGAGAGACCGAUAGCGAACAAGUACCGUGAGGGAAAGAUGAAAAGCACUUUGGAAAGAGAGUGAAACAGUACGUGAAAUUGUUGAAAGGGAAACGCUUGAAGUCAGUCGCGUUGACCGAGACUCAACCUUGCUUUGGCUUGGUGUAUUUCUCGGCUGACGGGUCAGCAUCAAUUUUGACCCUCAGAUAAUGGCAAGGGAAAGGUGGCACCUUUUAGGUGUGUUAUAGUCCCAUGUCGCAUGUGAGGGUUGGGAUUGAGGAACUCAGCAUGCACCUCUGGGUGUCGGGGCUUUGGCCCACGUUACAUGCUUAGGAUGCUGGCAU
rnacentral:rRNA from 1 species